UACGUAGGGUGCUAGCGUUGUUCGGAAUCACUGGGCGUAAAGCGCACGUAGGCGGAUAUGUCAGUCAGGGGUGAAAUCCCGGGGCUCAACCUCGGAACUGCCCUUGAUACAGCAUAUCUUGAGUCCGAUAGAGGUGGGUGGAAUUCCUAGUGUAGAGGUGAAAUUCGUAGAUAUUAGGAAGAACACCGGUGGCGAAGGCGGCCCACUGGAUCGGUACUGACGCUGAGGUGCGAAAGCGUGGGGAGCGAACAGG
rnacentral:rRNA from 1 species